rnacentral:rRNA from 1 species
UCAGGCCUAACACAUGCAAGUCGAACGGCAGCACGGGUGCUUGCACCUGGUGGCGAGUGGCGAACGGGUGAGUAAUACAUCGGAACGUACCUUAUCGUGGGGGAUAACGCAGCGAAAGUUGCGCUAAUACCGCAUACGCCCUGAGGGGGAAAGCGGGGGACCGUAAGGCCUCGCGCGAUUAGAGCGGCCGAUGUCUGAUUAGCUUGUUGGUGAGGUAAAAGCUCACCAAGGCGAUGAUCAGUAGCUGGUCUGAGAGGACGAUCAGCCACACUGGGACUGAGACACGGCCCAGACUCCUACGGGAGGCAGCAGUGGGGAAUUUUGGACAAUGGGGGCAACCCUGAUCCAGCCAUGCCGCGUGCGGGAAGAAGGCCUUCGGGUUGUAAACCGCAUUUGUCGGGGAAGAAACGGUCUGCGCUAUACCGCGGACUAAUGAC